rnacentral:rRNA from 1 species
AUUGAACGCUGGCGGAAUGCUUUACACAUGCAAGUCGAACGGCAGCACGGACUUCGGUCUGGUGGCGAGUGGCGAACGGGUGAGUAAUGUAUCGGAACGUGCCCAGUCGUGGGGGAUAACGUAGUGAAAAUUACGCUAAUACCGCAUACGAUCUAUGGAUGAAAGCGGGGGAUCGCAUGACCUCGCGCGAUUGGAGCGGCCGAUAUCAGAUUAGGUAGUUGGUGGGGUAAAGGCCCACCAAGCCAACGAUCUGUAGCUGGUCUGAGAGGACGACCAGCCACACUGGAACUGAGACACGGUCCAGACUCCUACGGGAGGCAGCAGUGGGGAAUUUUGGACAAUGGGCGAAAGCCUGAUCCAGCCAUUCCGCGUGCAGGAUGAAGGCCCUCGGGUUGUAAACUGCUUUUGUACAGAACGAAAAGGUUUCUACUAAUACUAGGAGCUCAUGACGGUACUGUAAGAAUAAGCACCGGCUAAUUACGUGCCAGCCGCCGCUGUGA